rnacentral:rRNA from 1 species
AUUGAACGCUGGCGGCAGGCCUAACACAUGCAAGUCGAGCGGAAGAAGGGAGCUUGCUCCUGGAUUCAGCGGCGGACGGGUGAGUAAUGCCUAGGAAUCUGCCUGGCAGUGGGGGAUAACGUCCGGAAACGGGCGCUAAUACCGCCUACGUCCUGCGGGAGAAAGUGGGGGAGCUUCGGACCGCAUGCUAUGAGAUGAGCCUAGGUCGGAUUAGCUGGGUGGUGGGGUAAAGGCCUACCAAGGCGACGAUCCGUAACUGGUCUGAGAGGAUGAUCAGUGACACUGGAAGGGGAACAGCGUCCUGGCGUCUACGGGAGGGACCAGUGGGGAAUAUUGGACAAUGGGCGGAAACCUGUUACAGCCAGCCCGCGUGUGAUAAGAAGAUCUCCCGAUUGGGAAGCCCGUCAAGUUGGGAGGAACGGCAGUAAUUUAAUACCUAGCUGUAUUGACGUUACCAACAGAAUAAGCACCGGCUAACUUCGUG